rnacentral:tRNA from 1 species
GCACCCGUGGUGGAACUGGCAGACACGCAAGAUUCAGGAUCUUGUGGCCGAUGAGGCCGUGGAGGUUCGAAUCCUCCCGGGUGCACCA